UUACAUAUUCGGUCAACCUAAAUACCUGGUUACCAAAGUCUCCCAACAAAACAAUCUCAAAACAUAAAACACCAACCAUUUUUUCCCAAAUUUCUCAGUCAGUCAACUCAAGACCUCCAACUCUGAUUCUUCGGAUCACCGCUCCGCUUCAUUGACAUCGAUCACAGCUGCCGACCGCCUCACAAAAUCACACACCAACACUUUGGCUUCUCCACGUCUCGAUCCGAUCACUGUUCAUAAUCACACUCGAGUCGAAUCGGCUGAGGAUAAUUGUAGCUGUUGAUUAAGGUGCUGAGAAAUGAGAACUCAAUGAAGUUGUUCUAAUGCUCAUAUGUAAUCUCCUUGAUCUUGCUAGACGUGACGUAAAUUGGUCUUUUGUUGUCUCUAAAUUUUCUGUGGCAUCUUUUUUUCUAAUGCAAUGUUGUUGUAGAGUAAUGUUUUUCCAACUUUUUUUAGUUUGCCAAGGUAAAUGCUUGCAAUCACUGAUUACUGUAACGUUCAAAAGACUAUUGAACCUUCAAUGUCAAUCUGAUUUCCAAUACAAUACCUGUAACUCUGGGAACUUCAAGCUCAUAUUGGUCAGGGGUUGAGAACGGAAUUGAAUCCUCAGUUGCUCAGUAGUAAAGCAGUUGGCUGUUAAUUGACUGAUCAUAGGUUUUACUAGAUAUGUCUAACAAAAUUUACUUUAGACCUCUUAAUUUGUAAUUUUGUUUAUAAGCAAGAAUUGGGAACUCCUUUGUCCUCUUCAGAAUAUGGCUUUCCCUUGUCCUACUAUAGUUUGAGUUCAACAGAACUUGAUGUAAUGCAGUUUCUUCUCUCUAGAGUUAAUUCAGAUUUUAUCUCAUUUUUCCAAAGAUGAAA